rnacentral:rRNA from 1 species
GACGAACGCUGGCGGCGUGCCUAAUACAUGCAAGUCGAGCGCGGGAAGUUAUUUGAACUCUUCGGGGGGACGUUGACGGGAAGAGCGGUGGACGGGUGAGUAACACGUAAAGAACCUACGCCCAGGUCUGGGACAACCACGAGAAAUCGGGGCUAAUACCGCGUGGGUGAUCGGACCGCCUGGUCCGAGGCUGGAUGGUGAGGCGACAGCGUCUCGGGACGGCUAUGCGGUGCAUGGGCUAGUGGGUGGGGUAAUGGCCCACCAGUGAGACAGUGCAUAGCUGACCAGGGCGAGUGACCGGCCACGCUGCGAGUGGAAGACGGCCCAGACUCCGACGGGAGGCAGGAGCAGGGAAUCUUGCACGAUGGACGAAGGGCUGAUGGAGCAACGCCGCGUGGACGAUGAAGGCCCUGGGGUCUGAAAGUUCUGUUGUAAGGGAAGAAGAAGUGCCGCAGGCAAUGGCGACGCCUUGACGGUACCUUGCGAGAAAGCCACGGCUAACUACGUG